GGCCCCAUCGUCUAACGGCUAGGACACCACUCUCUCACAGUGGAAACAGGGGUUCAAAUCCCCUUGGGGCCA
rnacentral:tRNA from 1 species